CAAACAGCAUGGCAUGCUACAGAGAAAUCUUUUAUGAAAGGAGUCCAUCAAUGUGGCAAACUUCAUUGUUGUCUUGUUUUUUAAAAUUGCCACAAGCACCCCAACCUUCAGCAGCACCACCCUGAUCAGUCAGCAGCCACCAACACUGAGGCAAGACCCUCCACCAGCAAGAAAAUUAGGACUCACUGAGGGCUCAGAUGAUCAUCAGCAUUUUUAGCAAUGAAGACAGGCACAUUGUCUUUUAGACAUAAUGCUGUUGCACACUUAAUAGACAGACGACAGUACAGUGUAAAUGUAACCUCCAUAUGCAACGGGAAACCCAAAAAUGCGUGUGUCUGGCUUUGUUGCGGGGGUCUGGAAGUGAGCCUGUGACAUCCCCGAGCUGUGUCUGGAUGUGGCCUAUCCCUAGAAGUUUGUGCCUCGUGGCUGCGCUGUCUGAAGGCCUGAGCAUAACUUGCACACAGACACUGCCUCACCUCUUUCCUAUAGCAGUGACCAGCAUCCCGUGGCCCUGCAGGCACCUCCUAGAGUGCAUCUGGCAGAGACACAUCACUAGGCCAAACCAAAGCAAUGGGAACCCUGUCUCCAGGUUCCUGGUUCCAUGAGGGAAUCAAGUUACCUCAGCAACAGUGUGUCUGCAUGUAUGUAUGAAUUUUAAACAACUACAACAAGGUGGCAAAAGCAAGCCCCCUCUGGAGGAUAAAGAAAAGCUGAAAUACUCCACAGCACUUACCAGACGGGGCGAGGGAGGAGCCCUGCUCCACGCGCUUCUCCGGCCACAGGGUCUGAACCUUCGGGCAUGUCUGCUUAGAGACGUGGAAUUCUGUCAAAUGAGCCCCCCUAGAAGCUUCCGGUGAGAAUCUGUCUAGAACUGUUGGGUGGGCUGUGGUUUGACUUAACCAUCUGCAUGUAGAUAAAUUACCAUUUAUAUGUGUGAAGAAGGUAUCCAUCCAGUGAUGAUCCAACACGUGCUCAUCACAUACCAUUAAAUUUUCAAAAGUAACUGGUGUAGCUAAUUAUCUGUCUCAAUCUGGCAGCCUCUGAAGUGUCACUUACAAUUUGUGCACUCAGCUCAUAAACCUGAAGUAUCCGGAUGCCCAGUGCUAGGUCAGAUGCCCAGUGCUAGGCCAGAUAGCCUCUCAUCCUUCUGAAAUGAAAGUUUGGAAUUGUGGUGCCACAGAGAAGGGACCCUCGGGUCCGUGGUUGAGACUGAGCCUGUGGAAGCUCAGAACUUGGCGAUGAGCGGCUGCAGUCACGGGAGCACAGGCACCUUGAGCAGGAGAGACCUAGGGACCCCUUUGUGCAGCCCCUCCUCACACGGGGAGACGGGCAGCCCUGGAGGUCGGGGGUUGGGGCUGAGGCCACCCACACACAUGGGCUCUCCUACCACCUUCUCCUCCUGAUUCAGGACUGAGGAAUCCAGGAACCCUGGGGAGCUCACAGGCACCAGGGACUGAGACGCUGCAAGGGCAUCAGCCAUCGACCAUUGGACAGCCACCGCAGUGAGCAAACCCCAAAGUCUCGUGCUAAGAAGAGACUUCAUUUGGAGAAGUGAAUUCUGACAAUACUCCACAAACAAAGUUAGGACAGUUGUUCAGGACAGCAGCAGGGAGGCAUCGAGUGGAAGUGAGGAGGAACCGGCCUUUGUGGAGCUCCAAGCUGCAUAAAGUCUCCCAAAUGCAAAGUCUCGCUCCAGUCAGCAAAGUUCAGAGCAGCUCUCUCCAGCAUCUUCAGCCACUGCCAGGCAGGCCGGCUCUCAGCACGGGUGGUAAACUUUCUCAUUUUCCUCAUGCCAAAAAUACAUCAUUUCCAAAAUAGAAAAAUGAUAUUGUUCAGAGGUGAGGCAGGUGCGUUAGGAAAGAACAAAAACAGGCCUUAUUGGAUAUGACAAGAAGUGCGGCCCCUUUCAGAAGCAAACUAGAGAACCUGAGCCAGGAAGGACGUUGCAUUUGCUGAGUGGCCGAAAGCUGUCAGGGGUCGGGGCAUGCAGAAGACGUCCUGUUAUUCACUUCUCAGAACAGACCUGUGGCGAAUUUGAGAAACUGUAAUGGACGAUUUUACUCUGAUGAGCUCUAGAGGGGGUUGCUGAGAAGCGAGGCCUGCGUUUUCCUCCUGACGAGGUCUGGGCGGGCAGUUGUCUCCUACCUUUUGUACUAAUUCACCUGGUGACACUGUCAAAGGAGAGAAAACCACAGGUUAGCAAUUCCCACUAUAUUCAUUCCAAACACAGCCCAUCGUAAUCUAAAAAGCCAUCAGGGCCAUCGCAGGGCUCCAUGUUUCCCUGGGGAUGUUACUUCCUGCACACUGACCAGCAGAUGAUACUGACAACACUUUGCAGCCUCAACCCGUGAUAACGGGAAAAAGAUAAAAUAAAGAGGCUGGACAUGGUGGCUCACACCUGUAAUCCCAGCACUUUGGGAGGCCGAGGUGGGAGGAUUGCUUGAGCCUAGAGGUUUGAGACCAGCCUGAGCAACAGAACAAGACCCUAGCUCUUUUAAAAUAACUAAAAGAGUGUAAUUAUAUUGCUUGUAACACAAAGGAUAAAUGCUUGAGGGGACGGAUGCCCCAUUGUCCAUGAUGUGAUCAGCACGCAUUGCAUGCCUGUAUCAAAGCAUCUCAUGUACCCCAUAAAUAUAUAUGCCUACUAUGUACCCA
rnacentral:lncRNA from 10 species